rnacentral:rRNA from 1 species
UACAGAGGUCUCAAGCGUUGUUCGGAUUCAUUGGGCGUAAAGGGUGCGUAGGUGGUGAGGUAAGUCGGAUGUGAAAUCUCCGAGCUCAACUCGGAAAUGGCAUUGGAAACUACCUUGCUCGAGGGUUGGAGGGGGGACUGGAAUGCUUGGUGUAGCAGUGAAAUGCGUAGAUAUCAAGCGGAACACCAGUGGCGAAGGCGAGUCCCUGGACAACUCCUGACACUGAGGCACGAAAGCUAGGGGAGCAAACAGG